rnacentral:rRNA from 1 species
AAGGGAGCGUAUGCGGCUGAUUAAGUCAGCGGUGAAAGGUAGCAGCUUAACUGUUUUACAUGCCGUUGAUACUGGUUAGCUUGAGUUGACAGAAGGCAGAUAGAAUUCCUGGUGUAGCGGUGAAAUGCUUAGAUACCAGGAGGAAUACCGAUUGCGAAGGCAGUCUGCUGCAGUCACACUGACGCUGAGGCUCGAAGGUGCGGGGAUCAAACAGGAUUAGAUACCCCAGU